AUUGUAUAUAAAUGGCAGUAAAUUUAUUAGUUAUUAUUCUCACUUCUGGAAUAGAAACGUGGGUACAAGAAGAUAUUAAACAGAUACAUCUGUAAGAUAUAGAACACUGCGCCUAACAAGAUACACGUGUUAAAAUGAUGAAGAUUUCAAUAUAUUGCUUGGUCGUUGGCGUCUGCUGCUUGGGAUCGGUAGUGUGCCAGGCGAAUGAUGAUUUGGAUGCGAACCGAAUUACAGAAGCCCCAGUAUCAAAUUCAGGGGAGGCUACGCAGAGCACACCGAACCGACAUCCCCUACACACUAGACCCAGUAAUAAAGUAUGUCGGUAUAAAUGGUCGGAUUGUGAUGCUGAAACACAGGAACAAACGGGUUCAUUGAUCAUAAUAGAUUGCGAUGUAGAAAGGACUAGGCCAUGCAGACCACCGAGAACUGGUGCAACAGAUACUGAUAAUACAGGACAAGCUAGCCUGGGAGGUGCAAGUAGAACAGGUGGUCAGCGCAGACCAGGUGGUCAGCAAAGAAAAAGUCGUAAUGGAAAAAAAGGACGUGGUAAUGGUAGUGACAGAUUGGGUGGUAAAGGGAGACGACCUAAAAACAAAAAACAAACUGGGGGAGAUGAAUAGGAAGGGAUGACCAUAUAAGAGAACCAAGAGGACCAGAACCAGAUGAAUAAACGACCGAGUGAAGUCGUCAAUAAAAAAAAGCAACAAAGAAGUGUACAGAAAUCAGAUUUUCAAAAUUACAACAGAAUAUUAUUCUUAAUUUAUACCAGUGACCUUGUAAACGUUACUUUACUCUCUCUCUCUUCUUAAAUAUUAUUGACGUCUGCAGUCAUAAUUUAAACUUAACUUUUGUUGUUGUUUUAGAUAGGAAUAAAAACAUUUAUAUUAAUAUCUAGACUAACAUGUAUCAAUACGUUUGAUCACUAAAAUUACAUUAAAUUCUUCUUUGAUAUAA